rnacentral:rRNA from 1 species
GACGAACGCUGGCGGCGUGCUUAACACAUGCAAGUCGAACGGAAAGGCCCUGCUUUUGUGGGGUGCUCGAGUGGCGAACGGGUGAGUAACACGUGAGUAACCUGCCCUUGACUUUGGGAUAACUUCAGGAAACUGGGGCUAAUACCGGAUAGGAGCUCCUGCUGCAUGGUGGGGGUUGGAAAGUUUCGGCGGUUGGGGAUGGACUCGCGGCUUAUCAGCUUGUUGGUGGGGUAGUGGCUUACCAAGGCUUUGACGGGUAGCCGGCCUGGGAGGGUGACCGGCCACAUUGGGACUGAGAUACGGCCCAGACGCCUACGGGAGGCAGCAGUGGGGAAUAUUGCACAAUGGGCGGAAGCCGGAGGCAGCAACGCCGCGGGCGGGAUGACGGCCUUCGGGUUGUAAACCGCUUUCGCCUGUGACGAAGCGUGAGUGACGGUAAUGGGUAAAGAAGCACCGGCUAACUACGUG